rnacentral:rRNA from 1 species
UACGUAGGGGGCAAGCGUUGUCCGGAAUCAUUGGGCGUAAAGAGCGUGUAGGCGGCCCGAUAAGUCCGCUGUGAAAGUCCAGGGCUCAACCCUGGAAUGCCGGUGGAUACUGUCGGGCUCGAAUCCGGAAGAGGUGAGUGGAAUUCCUGGGUGUAGCGGUGAAAUGCGCAGAUAUCAGGAAGAACACCCGUGGCGAAGGCGGCUCUCUGGGACGGUACUGACGCUGAGACGCGAAAGCGUGGGGAGCGAACAGG